GACGAACGCUGGCGGCGUGCUUAACACAUGCAAGUCGAACGGAAAGGCCCUGCUUUUGUGGGGUGCUCGAGUGGCGAACGGGUGAGUAACACGUGAGUAACCUGCCCUUGACUUUGGGAUAACUUCAGGAAACUGGGGCUAAUACCGGAUAGGAGCUCCUGCUGCAUGGUGGGGGUUGGAAAGUUUCGGCGGUUGGGGAUGGACUCGCGGCUUAUCAGCUUGUUGGUGGGGUAGUGGCUUACCAAGGCUUUGACGGGUAGCCGGCCUGAGAGGGUGACCGGCCACAUUGGGACUGAGAUACGGCCCAGACUCCUACGGGAGGCAGCAGUGGGGAAUAUUGCACAAUGGGCGGAAGCCUGAUGCAGCAACGCCGCGUGCGGGAUGACGGCCUUCGGGUUGUAAACCGCUUUCGCCUGUGACGAAGCGUGAGUGACGGUAAUGGGUAAAGAAGCACCGGCUAACUACGUGCCAGCAGCCGCGGUGAUACGUAGGGUGCGAGCGUUGUCCGGAUUUAUUGGGCGUAAAGGGCUCGUAGGUGGUUGAUCGCGUCGGAAGUGUAAUCUUGGGGCUUAACCCUGAGCGUGCUUUCGAUACGGGUUGACUUGAGGAAGGUAGGGGAGAAUGGAAUUCCUGGUGGAGCGGUGGAAUGCGCAGAUAUCAGGAGGAACACCAGUGGCGAAGGCGGUUCUCUGGGCCUUUCCUGACGCUGAGGAGCGAAAGCGUGGGGAGCGAACAGGCUUAGAUACCCUGGUAGUCCACGCUGUAAACGGUGGGUACUAGGUGUGGGGUCCAUUCCACGGGUUCCGUGCCGUAGCUAACGCUUUAAGUACCCCGCCUGGGGAGUACGGCCGCAAGGCUAAAACUCAAAGGAAUUGACGGGGCCCCGCACAAGCGGCGGAGCAUGCGGAUUAAUUCGAUGCAACGCGUAGAACCUUACCUGGGUUUGACAUGGAUCGGGAGUGCUCAGAGAUGGGUGUGCCUCUUUUGGGGUCGGUUCACAGGUGGUGCAUGGCUGUCGUCAGCUCGCGUCGUGAGAUGUUGGGUUAAGUCCCGCAACGAGCGCAACCCUUGUUCACUGUUGCCAGCACGUUAUGGUGGGGACUCAGUGGAGACCGCCGGGGUCAACUCGGAGGAAGGUGGGGAAGACGUCAAGUCAUCAUGCCCCUUAUGUCCAGGGCUUCACGCAUGCUACAAUGGCUGGUACAGAGAGUGGCGAGCCUGUGAGGGUGAGCGAAUCUCGGAAAGCCGGUCUCAGUUCGGAUUGGGGUCUGCAACUCGACCUCAUGAAGUCGGAGUCGCUAGUAAUCGCAGAUCAGCAACGCUGCGGUGAAUACGUUCCCGGG
rnacentral:rRNA from 1 species